UACGUAGGAGGCAAGCGUUGUCCGGAGUUACUGGGCGUAAAGGGCCCGCAGGCGGUGGAGUAAGUUUGGAGUGACAGUUCCCAGCUUAACCGGGAAAGGACUUCGAAAACUGCUCGACUUGAGGACUGGAGAGGAAGGCGGAAUUCCGGGUGGAGCGGUGAAAUGCGUAGAGAUCCGGAGGAACACCGACGGCGAAGGCAGCCUUCUGGAAAGUACCUGACGCUGAGGGGCGAA
rnacentral:rRNA from 1 species